rnacentral:lncRNA from 1 species
AAAAAAAAAAAAAAAAAAAAAAGAAUUUCGGCAUUUGAGAAAAGGCUUAAGAAUCUGGCAUUGAACAGGCUAUCCAGCCCAAAAGGGACCUCACCUGCUUUGUUGAUUGUUGAAUGGCCCAACUACAUCUGGUUGCAGUGGCAAACGGCUGACCUCCACGAGCAGCUGAAAGUGCCUCCUGCAAGUGACCGACUCAUCCAGGCCUUGGACCGAGAAAACAGCUCCUCAACUGCAUCAGCUGGACCAUGGUACAGACCAGAGACAGGGCAAGAAAAGAAGCAGAGGCUAUUGGCCCGUGCAGAGAAGAAAGCUGCCGGCAAAGGGGGCAUCUCCAUGAAGACCCCAACUGUCCCACGAGCAGGGUUAACCCCGACAGCACCUUGGUGGAGAACAAGAAGCCUCAGCUGGUGGUGACUGCACGUGACUCUCGUCGAGCUUGCUGUCUCUCUGUCUGCGCUGUGUCCUACAGUGGGGUUCCCUUACUGCGUUAUCCAGGGGAAGGCAGGACGGAGAUGCCUGGUCUGCAGGAAGACCCCAGAAAAGACUGUCACCUUCACACAGGCUCACUGGGAAGACAAAGCAGCUCUGGCUAAGGUGGCGGAAGCUAUCAGGACCGAUUACAAUGGCAGGUGUGACGAGAUCCACAGUCACUGGGGAGGCAAU